GUAUUGCGGCCAACCCCCCGCCAUACCGUAUCUCUGCAAUGGAAGCCAUUACUCGGAUAUAGGUCCCACUUAUUGUGUGAAAAGCGCGGUUAGGGUAAUCGAUCUGAGGUAAGCCUAACUAGAGGUGUUACUCUUAGUGGGGGAGAGGGGAGGGGAGGAGAGGGAAGGAAGAGAAGUUAUUUAAGUGUUAUGGUCUCAUUAUUACUUAAUAUUUCCUUGUUCAAUGCUUUUAUUAUUAUUCAACUUAUCACUCUUUCCCUUAUCUUUAACUUUAUUAUCUUGCCUCUCUAAGUGUGUGCCUUUCUGUGAUUAAUUACUUACUUAAGUGAAUAUCCCAUUUCUCUUGAUUCAUUUCCUU